ACCUGGCUGGCUCAUUCGGUAGAGCAUGAGACUCUCGAUCUCCGAGUCAUGAGUUCAACCCCACGCUGGGCG
rnacentral:tRNA from 1 species